UACGGAGGGGGCUAGCGUUGUUCGGAAUUACUGGGCGUAAAGCGCACGUAGGCGGCUUUGUAAGUUAGAGGUGAAAGCCCGGGGCUCAACUCCGGAAUUGCCUUUAAGACUGCAUCGCUAGAAUUGUGGAGAGGUGAGUGGAAUUCCGAGUGUAGAGGUGAAAUUCGUAGAUAUUCGGAAGAACACCAGUGGCGAAGGCGACUCACUGGACACAUAUUGACGCUGAGGUGCGAAAAGCGUGGGGGAGCAAACAGG
rnacentral:rRNA from 1 species